CCUGUGUUACACUGAUAACACUCACUAAGGAAGAGACAGCCGCGAGCUGGUCUGCAAGGACAGCGGAGGCAGGCAGCGGAGCGGUGCCGGCCUGAAGGCUUGAGGGAGCUGGGGGUGGCAGUUAGAUGGCCAAAGAGGGCCUGUGUUCCGGCUUCAGGGCUGAAGAGGUCCUGGCAGCCUCCUGGGCCGUGCCAACAAUCCGUGCCUGGCUUCCCACCUCUAUUCCAGGCUUCUACAAAGCUCAGCUGGGCUCUCAAGUGUCCCAGUUUGUCACCAGUGCCAAGUUUCCAAGCUCAGAGAAGACACGGCAACUGCCAUUUAAUUGCUGAAGAAGCUUGGGAGGCCUGCGAGCCUCUCCUAGCAGUGUCCAUGGUGGGGAGGUGAUGCUGGACCCCGCCCUUCUCCAAGCCCUCUGGGUCCGGAGUGAAGGCUCACAUCAGGGCUGCAGAUGCAGUCCCAGCAGAGAGAUGUAUCCUGAGUUGUCACCACUGAGGCACAGGAUAUCUGUCAACUAAAGACAUAGCUAAACAAUUUAAGAGGCCAGGGCAGGAUUUAAAAAAAAAAAAAAGGAAACCAGAGACAAGAAAGCUGAGAAGUGAUAAGACCUACCUGGUCACGUCAGACCCUGCAGGUGUGCAGGUGCCACCCGGGUUCCAGAGCUACCUCAGUACAGGGCGGCUGUGAUGCGGAUGACCAAGGUCGAGGGUCCUGGUAAGGAAAGUCUGCACGGAGACGGUAAGAUUGCCGUAACUGCAGCUGCUUCUGCCUGCCUGCUGUUCCUGCCUGCAGCUGCCAGAGGCUGAGGGGAAUGAAAACCGGGACUGAUGAUGGAGGACCCUGAGCUCCUGUAUCUCCCAAGAGUGAGAUUACUGCACCCACUACCAGCACAGACUUUGUGGAGAUCUGUGGAGUCCUCUCAUCAACUUUCUCCAUCCGAAUGUGUGAGCUCUAAAGUCUACACCUGUGUCAGAAUCAUCCGAGCUGCGGCCCCCAGCAGCCCGGGGAGCACAGUUUCUACUUCUCAAGGCCUUGAGUUGGGCACAGAGAGUAAGCCCAUGACCAACAAAGCAGGAGCACGCAGCAGGCAGGCAUAUGGCGCUGGAACAAGAGGGCGAGAGACAGCGAGAGAGAGCGGGAGAGCGAGCGAGCGAAGAGACAGAGAGACAGAGAGAAACACAACACAUGCGCAAGCUUUCUGAUCCUUACCCAUCCAUGACGGAAUGCUGAUGGGCCCAAUCUUCUGCAGGUCUUACUUACUUACGUCUUCUCAGUUGCUGAGAGAUUAGGAGUUCAGUGGUCGCGUCCUGCCCGGGAGACGGUGUUCUACAGCGCUUCUCACCGCCUUGCUCUCAUCUUUCCAUGUCUUCCGGUGCUCCCUGAGCCUUGGGAGGUGUUGACAUGGACGGCCACCGCCACCCACAGCAAGAGGCCUUUUCUCUGACAAGUCCGGAAAGCAGCACUAUUCUAUGGGCAUGAACAUAAACAUUUAGAAGGGAAUUUGAUGCCACAUUAGGACCAGUUACUAAAACAGCAAUAGCAUCCCCACUAAGCGCGCCCCACACUCCACUCCCCCACCACCCCUGCCGCCAUGUAAGGGCUCUUGGCCACAUUUAUUGUACCAGAUUUGUACUCUCUUUUUUAGGACCGGCCUCAAAUCUAAUGAAGAAGCAGUUGGCUAACCCCAUAACUGUCUUGCCACUACUGUGCCCAUCGGCAUCUUGCCUGGCAGGCGGGCACUAUAAUAUAUAGGAUUCAAAGUUAAAGCUCAUCUGUAUUUAUUUAUUUAUUUAUUUAUUUUGGUUUUUUUGAGACAGGGUUUCUCUGUGUAGCCCUGGCAGUCCUGGAGCUCACUCUGUAGACCAGGCUGGCCUCAAACUCAGAAAUCCGUCUGCCUCUGCCUCCCAGAGUGCUGGGAUUAAAGGCGAGCACCACCACCCACCUGACUUUAUUUCUGGUUUUUCGAGACAGCGUUUCUCUGUAUAGCCCUGGCUGUCCUGGAAGACUCUGUGGACCACUCUGUAGACUGUUUUUCUGUUUUCUGUGUAGCCCUGGCUGUCCUGGCUCUGUAGACCAGGCUGGCCUCAAACUCAUAGAGAUCCAUCUGCCUCUGCCUGUAGAUACCCAAGGCCUGCAAAGCUUGUGACGCCAUACAAGCGACAAUUAAGACAAUGUAUAGGUCUGUUGCCAAGGCAACAGUUGCUGUUUACCCAGAAUUCCAGAGCCUACCUUUACCUGUAAUUAAAUCACCACCGGUAUAUAACCGGGCAGCGCUUCUUCCCUGGUCUCUUUUUCUCUUCUCUCUUUCUCUCCUUCCUUCCUGCCUGCUACCCCUUCCCUAUCUUAAAUAAAGUCCCACGUUGAACUGUU